AUGAAUGGCAGGAACUUGAGCCCAGUGGGGAUGGAGCAGCUGUCUUCAUCCUCUGUGAGCAAUGAAUGCCCUGUCAGUCUCAGGAAGUCACCUGGAGUUGGCUGCCUCUCCCUCUCACAGUGCCAUCGCUGCCCCAGGACUUCCAGUGGCAAUUCCAAACCUGGGUCCCUCCCUGAGCUCUCUGCCUUCUGCCUUGUCUCUGAUGCUCCCUAUGGGUAUUGGAGAUCGAGGAGUAAUGUGUGAGCUUCCGGAGAGGAACUACACCCUACCUCCACCACCUUACCCUCACCUAGAGAGCAGUUACUUCAGAACCACUCUACCUGGCAUUUUAUCUUAUUUAGCUGACAGACCACCUCCUCACUAUAUCCACCCCAACUCUAUAAAUGUUGAUGGAAAUACAGCAUUAUCUAUCACCAACAACCCUUCAGCACUAGAUCCCUAUCAGGCUAUCAUUUCCCUAUGGGAAUGUUGGAUUAGAACUAGGCAUUGUUUCAAUAAACUGUCUCUCUGUAAACACACAUGGUGCCCAAAGUCUUCAUCCUAAUGAUGAUCACGAAGUAGCAUUGGAUACAACAAUCACUGUGGAGAAUGUUUCUCUGGUGCCAGCCCAAUCUCCACAGAUGGAAUGGCAGAGGAGCUUACAAUGGACGGUGUUACAGGAGA
rnacentral:lncRNA from 1 species